UACGAAGGGGGACUAGCGUUGUUCGGAUUUACUGGGCGUAAGCGCGCGUAGGCGGAUCGCUAAGUCAGGGGGUGAAAUCCCAGGGCUCAACCCUGGGAACUGCCUUUGAUACUGAGAAUCUUGAGUAUGGGGAGAGGUGACGUGGAAUGCGAGUGUAGAGGUGAAAUUCGUAGAUAUUCGCGAAGAACACCAGUGGCGAAGGCGGCUCACUGGCCCAUAACUGACGCGUGAGGCACGAAAGCGUGGGGAGCAAACAGG
rnacentral:rRNA from 1 species